AGAGUGGAUCGGGCGGUUGCCCUGCACGAAUAGAAAUAGAAACAGAUGCUGAUUCAAAAGCAUACCUGAUUUCUAUCAUCAAGUGCAGGGAGGAAAGUCCGAGCAGGACAGGGCACGGCGACGGCUAACAGCCGCCCGGGGCAACCCGAGGGAAAGUGCCGCAGAAAACAAACAGCCGAUGGCCCCGCACCUGUUUUGAGGGCAAAGCUGCUAUGCGAAGAAAGGCAGCAUUCUCACCCUCUGAAAACAAAUGCGGGGUACAGGCAAAGGUGAAAAGGUGCGGUAAGAGCGCACCGCGCCGCUGGCAACAGCGGCGGCACGGCAAACCCCGCCGCCUGCAAGACCAAAUAGGCCGGAGCCUGGCCCGGGCAAUUCCGGCGGGUAGGUUGCUUGUCUGCAGGGAAACCG
rnacentral:RNase_P_RNA from 1 species